GCUCCUAAAGGAUAACAGCUCAUCCGUUGG
rnacentral:tRNA from 1 species